AUGGUAGAGAAAGAAGGAAGAUACCAGCUGUUGGGUCAUUGUUUUAGAAAGGGCAGAAUUACAGGCUAUUUAGAAGAGGGAUUAAAACCAGAAGCCCACAGUAUCCUUAGUGUGGUGGUAAAGAUGCUGAGGGGCAGGGAUGUUAUUCAUCAGUGCUUUAUUUAUAUCCUAUCCAUUUUAUCCCUUUUCAUCUAUGUUGAUCUUCACAUUCCAUACAAAUGUCAGUGAUUAUUAGAUUAGGUGAUUUUUUGACUCCUGCAGUCUCCCAGCCCCGAUGUCAGUCCUGCCCCAUAUUUGCCUCACACUUCCCAGUCUGCCAAACCUCAUGCAUUAACCAUGAGAUUUGCACACUUGCUCCUGCCUGACACUUCUCUCCAUUUGGCCCACAUCUCACCCAUUUUUGCUGCAGGCUUUUCUGCUCCAUGAACUGAUGUACUAGGUGCAGCUGAUGGACAAACCUCUGGUUUUACUGAUCAGAUAAAGGAUUGCGUGUCAGAUCAGAGAGGAGAGGCUGCAGGACCGUAAGGUGGUAAAAGCACUGAAUAACAGUGUCUCAGGCAUGAAAGGAUCUCUGUAGCACCACACUGGCAAUACUUGACAAUAAAAGGAGCCGGGGGUGAUUAGUCCUGAUCCAGUUCUUUGCACUGCAGACUUAUACAUCUGGCCAUCCAUACUGCAUUUUUCUUUCCUAACUGAAAAAAAAAAAUAGUUUGUUACAUAAUCAUGAGGAAAAGAAACAGCUGAGCCUCUGAAUCUUAAGAUACAAAAAUCAUUUAAAACCCUUCAUUUUCUUUACCAAAAUUGCAAGCUAGACUAUGAUUCUGGGGUGUGUGUAUUAUUAUUUUUAGUUACAUUUGAUGAAAGAACUUAAAGUUCUUAACUAAACAGCUUUACAUUGAAGUAAUGAUUAUAAGUAGAUAUUUAAGGUUACUGUAUGUCGAAUGAAUCAGACUAAAUAAAUCAAGACAACAUUCUUUAAUUCAGCCAGCUACUGAAUCCUGAUUCUCUCGGUAUUGGCUGUACUUACACUGGAGCCUUCAUGUGCUAGUCUGGUUAUGAUCAUACUGCCUCUUCCAAUGAGGAUGCAACCAUGGCUGCAGGUGCCUACACUGGAUGAACACCUGUCCAAUCUACGCAAGAAGGAAAGGAAAUCAAGAGAUGGCAUGUUUGCUGAUUUUGUGUACACAACACAACAGAGUGAUAACAUGAUGGAGAAAUGAAAAGAAAGUUAAAUUUAGCAUGAUUAAGAGGAGAGAGAGUAGAGGAAAACGGUCAUGACCCUUCAGAAACAGCUUUUGCAGGAGACAGAGCAGAAAUGGUUACCAAAUGAGAACGGCGAGCCUUCAGAUGAAAAUGGGUGAGUAUAUUUCACUGUGCCAAGAGAAAUUCUUAUGAUAUGUUCCAUUCUUACAGUUGCGGGGCAAUUUCUCCAUUUAAGGCUCUUGAAAGUUAAUAUUCCCAAACCCUGUUGAAAUUGCUGGCUGUCCCCGUUUUGCAUCACUACUGAGCCUCACCAUUUCGUGCAUUAGUUUAGUCAGUUGUCUCUGCUCAGCUUCAGCUGUGCACAAGUCCCCAUCCCUAAAGAUACACAAAUAGCACCAGGAACCUCCCAGCGAUCUUCAGUGCUGCUUGCCUGAUGCCUAACAGUCCUUUGAAAACGGAGCUCACUUCGAACGUUGUGAUGAAAUGAGAGAAACCAUGGGAAAUACUCCACUACCUUCUGGUGGGAUCUUUCACAAUGAGCAGCAUGGAAAAAACCAGAGGGGCAAAGCAAUAAACCAUGGAAUCUUCCAAGAAUGCAAAGCAGCAGUGUCGUAACAGCUGUGUAGACAUAGUGAUUCCAGAGCACUGUGUAGACAUGAUUAUUCCAAACGCAAAUUGCAUCACCGAGGAUAAUGAAACACUCUGGACAUACUGCUCCCUGUUUCAGAGGACUUCUUGUAAAUACAGAUGUCUACAGCGAAUUUCAGUCGUAUGUAGAAUUUAGGUCUCUUUGAUAAGCUUUGUGCUGUGUGGAGGGUGGACUACAGAAUUGCUUCUGAGGUAAUACAAAAGCAGAUUAUAAAGACUAGGUCUUUGCUACUAAAAAAAAGAUACAAUAUUUUUGCACAGAAAUCACUAAUAUAUGUCAGAUAUGCCAAACUGGAAACGCCACCAAGUGCUGGAUUCUUCAAUUUUAUCACAAGGUUAGUUCAGCAAGGUCAGGCCUGUCCUCUUGCCUGGGACUGACCUUGGAAAAUUCACCUCACUACAAAAUUAAAGCACCUUAUCUUGACUGUGUUUUUAGCGCAGGGGAGCUGAUGCAUGUUGGUUUCUCUGAGGUUAAAAAAAUAAAUUAGUUAAUCUUUUUAACAGUAAAGAAAAGUCCAAAUCAAUAGAGUCAUCUCCAUUAGGGUAUCUCUGCAAAACCAUGUGUUACCUAUGUUCUUCUAUGUGUUCACUGUUGCAUUGGAACAUGAUUAGUAACCAUGGUAUAGACACAACAUUCUACUAGUGUGGCUGGUGGUGGCUUUAUGCAGGACUAGUCUUGAGAAUGGCAUAGUAUAAAAUAAGGUAGAUAAUGAAUUUAAACAGGCAUAGAGGUUGGCAUAACAAGUACCCUUGGCAGCUGUACACACGGCCAGUGAGGUGCUUUGUCUUGCAUCCUUUUUAUACUGGUAAAAGCCCGAGGGGAAACCCACUUACUGUGGCACAGAAGUGGUACGGCUUAUUUUGCACUUCUGCACUGGUAUAUGUUACAUAGCUAAAGCACUUUUCUUGCUCAUACAGGCUCUCCCUGUCUUAAGAGGGCUUGCUGAGAAGGCUAUUCUGACAAAUCUUUCCUGGCAUGCAUUUGGUCCUAACUUUGUACCAGCGCAAACUUUCACGUGUACGCUUCUAUGACAGAGUAAGAAUGAUUUUUCCCAUUUAUCUUGAAUAUAUCACUGACAGGUUGAAAAUUAAAAACGUCCUCUGAUACCAAGAAGGUACAGAACAUGGACAGGCACUACAGUAACUAUACUGGCUUCAAAGCUAAUUAAAUUUACCUCAGUGCAGCUUUCCCCCGUAGACAAACCCAGAAGUGCCAACCCCAUCAAUCAUUGCCUCACUCACCUCCCUGACCUAUCUCUAAAACUAGAAAAAAAGCUGAUCAGCUCCUCUCCAUUUCAAUUUUGUGCUCCCCAGCCUGAAGAUCUUUUUAAGUCCUAGCUUCUGGCAUGACGCCUUCCAGUCACUGGUCAGAUUCAGCAGUGGCAGCUGCUAGCAGAAAAUCCUCCUAUUCAAGGGAUGACCUUAUGUGCUCCAAACGCUGCUUUCUCAUUCUGCCUAAAUCGUUUCUCCAUGUUCAGUGCCUGCACUAACACCAUGAUGCAGAUAGAUUGCAAAUGUUCUGGAACAAAAGGUAUUAUUUAAAAGGUAAGGGGGUUUAUAUUUUAAAUUCAAAAUCAUGGUGAGACAGUGUUUUUACUAAAAGAAAUUAAAAUUUCACACAGAGCAUCCAAAUUUUAUUUUGAAGUCAAUGCCACAGUAUCCAUCCUGAUUCCCUUAUGAAAGAUCCCGUGUAAAAUCCUGUAAUGCCUUGAGAAUAAUUUUAAUGAUUCACUCCUAUGCAGAUCUCUUAUUUUUCAAUGCAGAUAUUGCAUAAGGGUAGCACAGUACUUUUAAACAUGAACAAGACAUAAACCAAUUUCAUUCAGAUUAUGUUUGUGUCAUAAAUAAGGCUCUGUAUCCACUCAGUUCAAAUCGGCCUCCUUAAGCAGGCUUGCACUCGUUAAAUCCUGUCUAUGACCUCAGGCAGCCUGUUCUAAAUGCACGACUCUUGCAUGUGAAGAGAGGAGCUUGGAAAAUAACACUGAACUGAGCUAAGGCUAAAUCUAUUUGGAUUCAUUACAUCGAUGACUGGACUGUCUUUGUAAAUAACACUUAUUUACAUAUAUUUUAAGAACUGUCAGUUUUGCAUAUGGAAAACAGAAUCACAAGAAUAUGAAAAACUCAUUCAAGUUUGGGUGACCCACAGUCACCAGAAAAAAUGGCUGGUUAUUCCUUCAUAUUUUACAGAAAAUACACAGUCAGUGCAUGCCUACUAAAAUCACUACAUUUCUCCCAUCCCUUUUUUUCCACACCAUUCUUUUGUAUUUUUCUGCUCAUCAUACUAGCUUGAGUACAUUUUACAUAUGCAAUUCUCUGUGUGUGCGUAUGUCUGAAAUGACUGCUAUCAGUGAGUGACAAGCCAGUAUCCAGGCAAGUUUUGACGCUUUUUUUUUAACGAACUUUGGGAAUUUUCCAGCAGCACAAAGUAUGGGAAGGUAAAAAAGGUUAUAUACAGGAAGGUGACUGGUUUUAAACAAAUGUCUUCAGAGAGUUUUCCUCCCUAAAGCAUACCUGUAAGGUAACAGUUUUUCUAGAUGUUAACCUGGUUUUACUCCUGUUUGAAAAGGUUCAGUUCUGCCAGCUGUUUAAUUCUUAAACACAGGGUUUUUUCCUACUCUAGGCUUUGCUUAGGAGCCCCAGUAAGGUGCUAUAGCUAGAAAUCUUCCAUGGUUGUGCUGCCACAAUUAAGGGAUUUGACUCAUGCUCACACAGGACUCUGACUCAGGAGCAAGAAUGGCUUAUGCUGGCGUGGCUGUAAUGUUUCCUGCUCACAGUCAUCUAUUUUGGUCUAGCUUUCUCCCCUCUUUUGAGUUUACUUGCUCCACUGCAAGAUGGGCUAGGCUUUUUGGGAAGCAGCUAUAACCCUAAAGUUUUUAGGCCUGUCAAAAUAAACCAGCACUGAUAUGUGGUUCUUUAAUUCAUGGCCAUCAGCAACUUCAUUCAUAACUUAGUCACCCCACAGUAAAGGUGGGAAUGGAGAACUGCAUCUGGGAAAUGCUCUGUCUUGCCCAGUGUUGGUCACUCUUGCUCCCCAGUUUAAGACCGUAGCUUGUGGACAUGCAUCCUCUUCCAGGUCUGUCUGCUGUCUGAAAUUACGACCAUCCAUAGCCAUGUAUUGGCAGGUUGUGUUAACCAAGCCAAUUUUACCUAAGAAAGAUUAAAGGAGGUAAUGGGGGAAAACAGAGUGGGUGCCUCCCCUGAGAGGAUACUGAGGAUCUAGGAGAUUAAAACAUUAUCAGAGUGUGCUGCUGUUUGCAAUACAAAGUCCAUUAUAAGCAGUGUCGUGACCUGUGCAACAACUGCUCAGCUAGAAAACCACCUCCCAGUCAGAAGUUAGGUGGAUUGAAUGCAAGUCCACAUGUUACCAUGUCAGUCCAGAACCUAACAGUUUCAGUUCACCUGUAUAAAAAAUUUAUGCUGAGCUCAUUGACUCUGCUGUAAACUGGCUGAGGGUCAUUCAUGUGUUCUGUACCACCAUUCUCCUGAGGUGGUUGUAACCUUGGUCAGGGAAAAAGGGAGGGGUGAAAGACCAAAGAGCUACAGGUGACAGCCACUUUAAUGCUACAGUUCACUUGUCAUCCCUCUAAAUUUUCCAUGGCAAGGACAGUAUCAAAUGGACAUCACGUGACUGCGUAGAGGUCCUUAAUCACCUUGCACAGUUAGUGUGCAAGCCCCAGCCUCUGCUUUUGCUAGAGAGUGGAGCUUGUAUGUAGGACAUACUUAUACUGGUGCAGAUAAACCAGUUUGAAUUAUUUUGGCCUAAGGGCUGACACCCACUGAAACUAUGAGAGAUUUUUUGGCCAAAUUUAAUAGGUAUACAGUUUGGUUCUAAGUGUAACCUUAGGCAAGUCAGAAUGGAUUUGUACAGUCUAGAAUUAAGAGUAAAUUGGCAACUCAGGUAACACUUCUUAAUGGGAAAGGUAAUGCAUGAACAGGAUGGGUUAAAUUGCCAGGGAGGAUGAACUAGAUGAGAACCUGUAGAAAAUGUCAAUUUUAAUUUUGUUCUGUGCCUUGUUUUUCAGCAGCUUGCUAAGAAAUAGACCUUUUACAUGCUGGUCUUCUUACAAGUACAUACCAACCAUCUCAGGAAGAUGAUUCAUUAGAGCUAUUGUGCUGGUAAGGCCCUGAAAGAGAAAGUCAGAGGAGGUAAGAAAAUACAUGGGAUCACUGUGUGGAGGCGAUUUGAUUGUCCAGGUCACCGCACAUACUAUUAGUUUGCCACAUGAAAUGCUGGAGACCAGGCUUCAGGAUCUUUAAUGCUAACUUAAUCCUCAGAGGACAGUUAGGCAAAAGGCUAUUUUCCAUGAACAACAGCAAGCAAACUGCAUAAAGGUGCCUUAAAGUAGGGUGCCACCAGGCAACCUGCGGUGAUUCAUGCUGGAACAAUUUAAGCAGGUAGUGGCCCCAGCCUUAUGCUGCACCUCUCUGUGGAGGUUACCACGCCUACAGCAAAAAAUGCGUGUCUGCUUCCCAGCCACACCAGCCCACAGUCCAGUGCAUGGGUUUAACUGGCUUUGAUGGCCAUUUAAUGUAGUAUGCCAAGCUUGAGGCUGUGGCAGCUGAAGAGCAGACACAGUGCCUGUUCUUUUCAGGCUUACAAAGGGGCAACAGUUCCUUCCAGAAGAGCAGAGCAGCCAGCAGGAGUGAUACACUAUUCUAUGUUGCCCUAACUGUGCUCUUUCUAAAGCAUUCUUUUAUUUGCUGCUAUUUUGCAUCUUCAGCUGAUACCAUAUACUUUUUCCAAGUGACCCUGUGUAAACACAGCUACUGCUAUCACAGUUGGUGCGGCCAUACCUAAGCCAGAACGUGGGUCUGGUACUCUGCUGUCAGUGUAACCAUAGCAAUGUGAAGCUGUGCAUCUAAGACAUAGCAGAAGAUACAUGAAUAUCUUCUUCCCAAGGAGUCAGUUGAUACAUGAAGUACAACAAGCCUUGGGUCCAUGACACAAUGUUUUGACUGGGAAACACUAGGGAAAUGACCACUGCUAUGAAAAAAAGGUUUCUGUAGACCAUCCGUGGUUACUCUGUUGGCUAAAUAGUGGCCACCUCCGAGCUGACAUAUUUCACGUGUUUCAGGUGGUUUCUCCCUUCUUUGUUAUGAAGAUUGAGUGCUCUCUCCCAGGUUCCCUGGGUAGGAACAUCACAUAUUUCCUCUCUUUACAUUUAGGAGAGGGAGAAAUUUUUAGCUAGGGGUCCUCAGCAGGCAUUGCUUCAGAGAAAUCAGUGGCAACAUUCCUUAAAACACAGGCAGACAAAAAAAACCCCAAACCUUCUUAAAACUAUCAGGUAGGUUUGAAUCAAUUAAUGUAUUUCAAUUCAGUCCAAUCGAUUGGCAGUCUAUGAAGAUGAAAAAAAGACUCUUCUGGCAGAAGUCCUCUUACCUUCAGGAGAGGGGCUCACUGAUGCAUCAAAACUCAAGUUUAAAAGUCCUCACGUGAUUAGAGAAGGUUGCUGUUACCACAUCAAAGGCACAGUAUGGUACCCAGUUUAAGCCAGUUUGAAGUGUCAUGGCCACUGAUGGAGCAAGCUCUUCCCCCUCGCCCUUGGCAACAUGUGCCUGCUGCCCCUGCCGUGAUGGCAUGCAAGGUGACUUGGAUCAGUUUGCUGAUUGCACUAAAUACUGAUCUUACCAAAAAUAAAAGGUUGUGUUUCAGCUGGAUCAGAGGAGGAAACGUGAAUGCAUUGUCAGGAUAAAAUCAUCGCUUUUGUGAACUUGUGUGUCUUAGAUCACCACCCUGACAGAAUGACUGACUAGUGACUUUGUAUUCAAAGAAGUCUGGUCUGCCUGUCGUUAAAAGUUCUUUUGAACACUUUUUAAGAGAAGGCUCUGUGUAUUCAAGUUGCUUUUUAUAAGCCCUAUGUGUUCUAAUAUAACAAUUAGAGAACUUGUAAAAUUCUAAAUAUUUUAAUUUUGGAAUAUUUGUUAUGUUGUUCCACAAUAGUAAAUACAAUACCUUCUCUUUAUUAUAUCACUCGGUGAAGGAGAUGUGAUUUAAAUCAGUUAUGGGCCCAUGAUCAUAACUGUUGAACUACUCACGAAAAACAAAAUGGGGUUCAGGCUGACUUUUAUGCAUGUGUGCUGGCUUUAUGCAAAUUGUCAGCAAUUAGCUUAUACAAUUAACAAUUGUUAAACUACUCUCAGAUCAAUACUGAGUUCCUAAUUAUACUGGUAAUUCUUCUGUCUAGCAUAUCUGGUGCCAGGAGAGUACUUCUUUAGCAUUGAUAGAUCAGAAUUUCAUGACAGGAGUAGCCAAGUUAGGAGUUAGGCUUGUCGUUUUGGCCCUGAAUAAGGCUGGCCAAAAAUAUAUUAAAUCAAUAAUAUAUUGCUCAAAGGUACCAUUGCUUCACAAGGAAAAUGUUUAAAUAGGUUUUAAUUACUAUUUUACUGUCUGAACAUAGUUCAGAUUCUCAUCUAUUAGUCAUUGUUGCACUUAAUACUGUUUGUUCUGUGGCUUAGAAACUUUUAUAACAUAUAGUCUACUUGAGUACAUGUGUUUGAGUUAAUUUUCCUCAUUGUAAAAACUGGCAGUAUAGACAUGGGAAUGGAGAACCUGCCUGUGUCUUUUUUGCCAGGACCCUUUGCCAUCACAAAAACCUCAUCACGAUUCUCAGAUAACACUAUCAUCCAUUUUACAUUGGCAUUCUUCUUCAAAACAGUUUAGGUUAUUAAUCCAACCUACUAGAAUAUUAGAAUUCCCUAUAAGAAUAUUGUUCCAGAGCCUUAUUUUCCCCAAUGGUCCUGGUAAUUGUUUGAUUUCAUGAAAUGGCGAAUUGCAGCACGUUGUCCCAUUUCACUGGGAAAACGCUGCAGUAUUUAUGUUUUCUAUGAUGAACACAAUGAAUUCUAGUUACAAGGGACUUUUAGGUGAAGGUUAGUUACAAAAGAACUGUAGCAAUAGCAAGACCUAAAUUUCUUAACUGAGAUUGAAAGAUAAUGCAUUCAUCAACAGCUUUUUUUUAUUGUUAUACUUCUGUAAUAAAGUUAAACAGCUUGUGAAUUGUUCAAAACAAUGCACUCCAUCUAGCUUGCAUCAAGUUAUCUCUGCUGAAAACCAAUGCAAAUGAAGUGUAGCAACUAAUGACAUAGGUCUUCUCUUUCCUAAUAUGAAGCUGAAUUUUUCAUUGGUAAAUCAGAGUAUGCCUGGAUCGCUGAUGGCAUAAUGGGGAAUUACAUUUCAAAUUGACUUUUAAAUUAGUUAUUUCCUUUACACUUUCAGUCAUUUAAUAACUAGGCACUUAAAUCUUCACGAGAUCAGUUGUAUUUCAUUGUCCUUCCUUUUCAGUAGUAGGUAAGAAAUAAUUAGAAAGCCAUCUUCUCUGUGUCUCCUUUCAUUUUAAAAUAAUACCUGUUAUUAUGUGUGUAAUCAGGAGUAGAGUGGGAUCAUUUUAAAUAUAUAAAAUUAAAAUGGAAUUACAUCUCAUAGCUCCAAUAAAUUAAUAAAAGGAACACUAUGACUAUUUUUGCAAAAAGAUUCCUUAA